GAUGAACGCUGGCGGCGUGCCUAAUACAUGCAAGUCGAGCGAAUGGAUUAAGAGCUUGCUCUUAUGAAGUUAGCGGCGGACGGGUGAGUAACACGUGGGUAACCUGCCCAUAAGACUGGGAUAACUCCGGGAAACCGGGGCUAAUACCGGAUAACAUUUUGAACCGCAUGGUUCGAAAUUGAAAGGCGGCUUCGGCUGUCACUUAUGGAUGGACCCGCGUCGCAUUAGCUAGUUGGUGAGGUAACGGCUCACCAAGGCAACGAUGCGUAGCCGACCUGCGAGGGUGAUCGGCCACACUGGGACUGAGACACGGCCCAGACUCCUACGGGAGGCAGCAGUAGGGAAUCUUCCGCAAUGGACGAAAGUCUGACGGAGCAACGCCGCGUGAGUGAUGAAGGCUUUCGGGUCGUAAAACUCUGUUGUUAGGGAAGAACAAGUGCUAGUUGAGUAAGCUGGCACCUUGACGGUACCUAACCAGAAAGCCACGGCUAACUACGUGCCAGCCGCCGCCGUAA
rnacentral:rRNA from 1 species